AAGCUGUGGAAGCACAUUUCUUGUGUGACCGCGUACUUUUUGUAGAACGGGCCAACGAGUUACGUUAAGUAGCAAGGUUAAGCACUUAAGGUGCGGAGCCGUAGCGAAAGCGAGUUUUAACUGAGCGGUCAGUUACUUGACGUAGACCCGAAACCGGGCGACCUACCCAUGAGCAGGAUGAAGCGAAAGUAAAAUUUCGUGGAGGUCCGAACCCACGAGCGUUGAAAAGCUCGGGGAUGACUUGUGGGUAGCGGUGAAAUUCCAAUCGAGCCCGGAGAUAGCUGGUUCUCCCCGAAAUAGCUUUAGGGCUAGCCUCAAGGUGAGAGAUACGGAGGUAGAGCACUGAAUGUCCUAGGGGGUAUUGCACCUACCGAAG
rnacentral:rRNA from 1 species